GACGAACGCUGGCGGCGUGCCUAAUACAUGCAAGUCGAACGCAUUUUCUUUCACCGUAGCUUGCUACACCGAAAGAAAAUGAGUGGCGAACGGGUGAGUAACACGUGGGUAACCUGCCCAUCAGCGGGGGAUAACACUUGGAAACAGGUGCUAAUAUCGCAUAAUUCCAUUUACCGCAUGGUAGAUCGAUGAUGGGGGCUUUUGAGUCUGUGAUGGAUGGACCCGCGGUGCAUUAGGAGGUUGGGGGGGUAACGGGCUACCAAGGCUGCGAAGCAUAGCCGGCCUGGGGGGGGGGUCGGCCAAACUGGGACUGGGGCACGGCCCAGACUCCUACGGGAGGGAGCAGGAGGGAAACUUCGGCAAUGGGCGCAAGGCUGACCGGGGAACGCCGCGGGAGUGGAUGAGGGUUUCGGGUCGUAAAACUCUGUUGUUAGGGGAGAACAAGGAUGGGAGUGGAAAGUGCAUCCCUUGACGGUACCUAACCAGAAAGCCACGGCUAACUACGUG
rnacentral:rRNA from 1 species